GAUGAACGCUGGCGGCGUGCCUAAUACAUGCAAGUCGAGCGAACGGACGAGAAGCUUGCUUUUCUGAUGUUAGCGGCGGACGGGUGAGUAACACGUGGAUAACCUACCUAUAAGACUGGGAUAACUUCGGGAAACCGGAGCUAAUACCGGAUAAUAUUUUGAACCGCAUGGUUCAAAAGUGAAAGACGGUCUUGCUGUCACUUAUAGAUGGAUCCGCGCUGCAUUAGCUAGUUGGUAAGGUAACGGCUUACCAAGGCAACGAUGCAUAGCCGACCUGAGAGAGUGAUCGCCCACACUGGAACUGAGACACGGUCCAGACUCCUACGGGAGGCAGCAGUAGGGAAUCUUCCGCAAUGGGCGAAAGCCUGACGGAGCAACGCCGCGUGAGUGAUGAAGGUCUUCGGAUCGUAAAACUCUGUUAUUAGGGAAGAACAUAUGUGUAAGUAACUGUGCACAUCUUGACGGUACCUAAUCAGAAAGCCACGGCUAACUACGUG
rnacentral:rRNA from 1 species